rnacentral:rRNA from 1 species
UACAGAGGGUGCAAGCGUUGUUCGGAAUUAUUGGGCGUAAAGGGCGCGUAGGCGGUGCUGUAAGUCUGUGGUGAAAUCUCUGGGCUCAACUCAGAGUCUGCCAUAGAAACUGCAGUGCUGGGAGUGUGGGAGAGGUGAGUGGAAUUCCCGGUGUAGCGGUGAAAUGCGUAGAGAUGCGGAGGAACACCGAUGGCCGGAAGGCAGCCCCCUGGGCUGACACUGACGCUCAGGCGA